AUACGUAGGGUGCGAGCGUUGUCCGGAAUUACUGGGCGUAAAGAGCUCGUAGGUGGUUUGUCGCGUCGUCUGUGAAAUUCCGGGGCUUAACUCCGGGCGUGCAGGCGAUACGGGCAUAACUUGAGUACUGUAGGGGAGACUGGAAUUCCUGGUGUAGCGGUGAAAUGCGCAGAUAUCAGGAGGAACACCGGUGGCGAAGGCGGGUCUCUGGGCAGUAACUGACGCUGAGGAGCGAAAGCAUGGGUAGCGAACAGGAUGAGAUACCCUGGUAGUCCAUGCCGUAAACGGUGGGCGCUAGGUGUAGGGGUCUUCCACGACUUCUGUGCCGUAGCUAACGCAUUAAGCGCCCCGCCUGGGGAGUACGGCCGCAAGGUUGAAACUCAAAUGAAUUGACGGGG
rnacentral:rRNA from 1 species